CCUCCAGUCUCUGGCGCCGACGCUACUCUAGGCAAAGCGCGAAGCACAUUGUUAAUCUUCUUCCCGAUAUCCAACAAUUGUUGGUCAUGACGUGCAAUUUGAGCACUCAAUUUGACUCGUACAGACUCCAACUUUGAAUCUGGUCUUGAAUCAGAUCUUCGAAUCUUGUUACUCAUGUCCGUCAAUUGUUCGUGAACUUCAGUUAACGACGCCGUCGUUUGCUCUGCCUCUAAUAUCUCCGUAAUCGACGGUAAUUCUGGUGUCGUCACCAUCUUUGAUUGAAAAAUUUCUUCGAUCUCUCAAAAACCCCACAUCAC